rnacentral:rRNA from 1 species
AUCACUAAGCGGAGGAAAAGAAACUAACAAGGAUUCCCUCAGUAACGGCGAGUGAAGUGGGAAGAGCCCAGCACCGAAUCCCCUGCCUUUUGGGUAGUGGGAACUGUGGUGUUUAGGACAGCCUUUGGGGUGGGAUCUGGUGCCCGAGUCCUCCUGAUCGGGGCCUUUCCCAUAGCGGGUGUUAGGCCUCUACUGGCACCGGUUUCUGCCUCUCUGAGCGUCCUUGGAGUCGGGUUGUUUGGGAAUGCAGCCCAAAGUGGGUGGUAAACUCCAUCUAAGGCUAAAUACUGACACGAGACCGAUAGC